AAUUAACAAAAUCCCUUUUUCUUCUUCGCUCUACAAACCCUAGCCUCCCCAACAUCUCCAAAAUCUCUCUCUCUCUAAACCCGUACAAUGAAAUACGUAGGGCAAAGAUUUCAUCUUCCCAAAUCAAGAAGAAAAAAAACCCUCCAAUGCUGGGAUUCCAUCAAAUGAUUCGAAUUAAAAACCCCAAAAUCAAACCGAGUAUAUGUUUUACGACAACCGCCAUUUGCAACGGCUUACCGCAUUGCAGGCACAUAUUUUAAUUGUAAAGUUAUGGCGUGUUGCAUCCCCCAAUCUCGCACCACGAUCUCAACUCCUAACCCACCACCCAUCUGCACCGAUUUAUCAUUAGGAUGAUUUUACAGCCUUUUGAAAUUAGUUUCCGACUUCCCAAUUUAAAUAUAUGUUAUAUGUUUUAUUCUUUCUUCCUUCAUGACUACUAGAGGUACAUCGGAACUAUAAUCCCAUUUUUGAUAUAGGGAAGCAGACUUCUUGGACUACAAUAUAUAGAAGAAUCAAGUUCAGAUUCGCAGUAGAUUUAUACAGGACCUGAUAGACAGCUGGAUAGACCUUCCCAGCAGACAGAG